rnacentral:rRNA from 1 species
ACUCCUACGGGAGGCAGCAGUGGGGAAUAUUGCACAAUGGGCGCAAGCCUGAUGCAGCCCAUGCCGCGUGUAUGAAGAAGGCCUUCGGGUUGUAAAGUACUUUCAGCAGUGAGGAAGGUGGGUAUGUUAAUAGCAUACUCAUUUGACGUUAGCUGCAGAAGAAGCACCGGCUAACUCCGUGCCAGCAGCCGCGGUAAUACGGAGGGUGCGAGCGUUAAUCGGAAUUACUGGGCGUAAAGCGCAUGCAGGUGGUUUGUUAAGUCAGAUGUGAAAGCCCGGGGCUCAACCUCGGAAUUGCAUUUGAAACUGGCAAACUAGAGUACUGUAGAGGGGGGUAGAAUUUCAGGUGUAGCGGUGAAAUGCGUAGAGAUCUGAAGGAAUACCGGUGGCGAAGGCGGCCCCCUGGACAGAUACUGACACUCAGACUGCGAAAGCGUGGGGACGCGAAACAGGAUUAGAUACCCUGGUAGGCUCU